UUGCUGUGUACAGAGGGGCAGCUAAAGAUCAGGCAUCAACAGGAUGCUAAUUGAUCUCCUCGGUGGGGACAAACACCACCAGCAUCAUUUGAAGACAAAGGCAUACGGUCAGGGUUAAUGUUGGCGCUGGAAGCUAGGCAACACUUGCGGGCCACCCCGCACAAUCCUCGCCGAUUUGAUUUGAUGCUAUCGACACACUUCACUGAAAGUUUUGCUGUUUCAUUGCUCAUGCGACAAAUAAAGGUAAAUCUAAACUAAUCGAUUGAUCCAUGCAAAGUCUCUUUGAGGGAUGCCUGCCCUGAAGAAGUUUAAAUCUUCUCAUAAACUUGCUAUUUCGUGCAAAUUUCACCGACGUGGACUGGCUUGGAGGCCUACAGUCACAGAACGACACAAUGCUAACAUGGGAAACGAACUGAACUAAACUGAACAUUUCUAGACUGUUUCAGAUACAACUCAGAACAGGCCCUUCUGGCUCAAAUAGCCUCAUCACCUAGCAACCCACUUCUUUAAUACAGGACAACUUACAAUGACCAACUAGCUGGUACGUCCUUGGAAUGUUGGACCCGUGUGGUACAGAGGGGAGAACAUACAAACUCCUUACAGACGUUGCCGGAGUUGAACAAACUCUGAAAUGCCCUGAGCUAUAACAGCAUUGUCCUGACCGCUGUGCCCAAAGCUUCUACCAACAUCGCAUGAAUAAAAUGGUCCCUAAGCAACAAGUGGUAAUAUCUUUGCCCAUUGUUCCAACUGAUUUCUAAUCCCAAAGAUGCUUAUUUAUAUCAUGACUAUUCAGGCUUGUUUUUUUGUUUUGAAAUUACUUAGUGUUUACAGGCAGCAAAAAUAAAGAGUGAUGUCACACAUAUAUUUGGGAACUAAAGGUAAGUAUUUCAUGGAAAAUUAGCAGCUGCUUAUUUGUGAGGGGAAAAUAACAUUAUUCAACAUGUCCUUGAUCUUAGGGCAACUGAUGAAAUAUUCUAAUAUUAUAUAAAUGAACUCACUUUUGUCGGUUAGCAUGCUGGACAAUGCGGUGGUAUGCUUGGAAAUAUGACUUAUUUUCAGUGCACUUUCAAUAGACUGUUUCUAUAUCAAGGUUCCCUUCUUUGUUUGCACAAUUCUUUGCUUGGCCCAUUUCCUAGCAGUCACAAAUGUAUGCAAUAAAUCCCCUAUAGGGCUCUGAGUUUUCCAUGCUCAUUCAUAUCUGAUUUAUGGAUUUUGUUGGAAUAUGUUCCGAAUGGAAAAGCAAAGCUGUUUCAUUUGCAUGGUUCAGUAUUGUUUGUGCAUUUCUUGCUCAGGCUGGUGACGUGAUAUUCCUUGGAAAAAUACAGAAAUACCUCUGUUUAACCAUUCUGAUCCUGGCAGCAGAGAUGGUCCAGGUAGCACACUGGUCUUACAGUUCCA